rnacentral:lncRNA from 1 species
UUACCAUUACCUAUAUGGGCAUACAUACACACACACACACACACACACAAACACACACACACACACACACACACACACACACACACACACACACACACACACACACACACACACACAAAGUUAAACUGUUAUUCUAGCUUGUGUCUGUUUUGUCUUGGCUCCCCUAUCUGUUUCUUAUUUUGUUGUCCCUCACCUGUCAUGUUCUGUUUUGCAUCACUUAGUAAAAAAAAAAAAGAAAAACCACAAUGUACUCACUGACUGAAGCUUAUGUAAGUGUGUGUUUGAUGUAAAGUGAUAACCAGGAUUGACAAUAAGUGGGACACAGUGAUAAAAAUAAACUCUUUCUCAGCUGAUAUUCAGUCCUGACAGUCUAAUUACAUCGAAUCAGUGAAGACAAAAAUAACCUCUCUGAUGUGCCCUUGUCAUGAAAAUCACUUUUCUUCUUUGUGUUUUGCACCAGUUACAAAAAAAUAGCUGAACAGACAAACAAAUUGACCAGGCUAAUAAUACCAAACUAAAAUCAAAUGAGAAGAGUUUCAUAUUCUCGUCCUGUACCCAUCAAAAAGCCCAUGACUCAGUCAUAUACGGUACAUCACAAGAAAGUGCUCAGGUUUGAGUGUUAUUUUUAGCAGACCGCCCUGGAUCCUUGAUCCUGAUUGGUUAAAAACUUAUAACAACAGUGCUGAAUUCUAAAAGCAAAAGCAAUGCCAGAGACAACCUAGUUUAAAGAGCUCAGCACAUUUCACCUCUGCCUGUUGACACUGUGGUAUAAGGUAAGUGUCUGUCUAAGGCUGGGAUUAAAAUAAUGAUAAUUCAAAGGGCUCAGAUGGAGAGCAGUCCGAGGAGGACCUCAACCCAUGUCUAAUAGAGGGAAGUGGAGCUGGUGUGAGCAUCUUCAAAUUUCUCAGCAAAGUAAAGCAAUCAAAAACCUAAGCAGUAGUGAUAAACGCAACAGUGUUGUAACUUGUGACAUUUUCUUAAUUUAUUUAAACCAAUACUUAUGCAGGUCAUCUCCCUGAGACAUGGGAUCUUCAUUCGGAGAGAGAGACUUAUCCUAACCUGUCUGUUUGUCUUCCUUAUUCAGGUUUAAAGAUGUGACACUUCUUUUGCGCUGGGAAGGAGAGUGUAAUGAGGACAGAAAUGUAAAUACUAACUUUUUUGCAGCAUUCCAGUAUACAGAAAUAAGUCAUUAUAGUAGGAGAAUGACAUCAUUAGAAAAAAAAAGUAAUAUUGUUUGUAGUAAAUGUUGGAUUUUUGGAAAGGGGACACACAUCACCAAAUUCAAACCCCACCAGUGGUUGUAUAUCAUGACAGCAAACCAGGGGCCUAUUCUACGAAGCAAGUUCGACCUAGCGAGGUAGCUACCUACCUUGCUCAACUUAGCGCGGUAGCCAGCGGUCUCGCUAAAUGGUCUUACAACACUGGUUAUCAACCCCGUAAGUGGAUCCAGCUUUGCUAUGGGCGCGUGCACACAUGUAAGGCGGAGUCCACCGCAUCUGACCAAUCGCGAAAAUGGACCAGUCUGGAGCGUCAGAGCAAGCUGGAGAUUGAAGGGCCGCGUACUUUAUAAACGAGGAGCAGGAGACGAUCAUGAGAAAGUAUGAAGAAUUCAAAUCUAUCAUAAACCGCAAAAGCAACACCAUCGCUGCUGCAAAAGCACGGAAGGAAUGCUGGCAGAAAAUUGCAGACAGUCUUAAUGCGUAAGUAUAGUGCGCAAAAAAUCUUUGAUGCCAUUAUCACCCUGAAAUAGCACAGUUCAACAUGCGCUUUUAACAUGCACCAGACAUGUCUAAUUCAUGACCAAGAAUUCAUUUAUUUGUUCAUUCCUAUCGUGUUUACAUUUUUUGUGUGAUAUGUAGGACGUAUGAGCCUUUCAUAAAGGUGGUCAUCCGGAAAGGUCAGUGGGUCCAUGUGGUCCCUGAAAACUCUCACGCGCCAGAGUGCUCCUCAGACAAUGCGAGCACCAAUAGCUGGGCAGAUAACUGUAAUAAUCGUUCACUUGUGGAUAAAAGCACCAAAAUUGGCACACAUACUCCUUAGAAGUUGCUCUUUUGAUAUUUCCCUCUGGCCAAAUGAAAAUUCAAGAUGGCGGCCAUUUUUCAAGAUGGCCACCAUUGAAAAUACAGUAAUAUUGCAUUUUGCAAUAAAAUCCCAUAGACUUGUCCUAUUUGGAUGAACUUGGUGUCAAAUCAAACAUUUUCCACUAUGCAGAAUCCAAAUUUGGACCCAUGGACUUACUUACUGGCUUUCUUGUACCAUAUUUCAGUCCCGGAAUCCUAAUAUUCUGAUCCUAAUUAGGUCUACAUCAUGUGAGACUCGAGCAAAAUGGUUGGUAGCCUAUAUCUUAGUGUUGUUCGAGGUCUAGUGUGUGCUGUCAGUGUGUGUGUGUGUGUGUGUGUGUGUGUGUGUGUGUGUGGGGGGGGGGGGGUUGCAAGGAGGGCAAGGGUGUGU